CCUUCUCUCUGGGAUCCGAGAUCCCUUCUCUCUGGGAUCUGAGAUCCAUUCUCUCUGGGGUCUGAGAUCCAUUCUCUCUGGGGUCUGAGAUCCAUUCUCUCUGGGAUCUGAGAUCCAUUCUCUCUGGGGUCUGAGAUCCAUUCUCUCUGGGAUCUGAGAACCAUUCUCUCUGGGAUCUGAGAACCAUUCUCUCUGGGGUCUGAGAUCCAUUCUCUCUGGGGUCUGAGAUCCAUUCUCUCUGGGGUCUGAGAUCCAUUCUCUCUGGGGUCUGAGAUCCAUUCUCUCUGGGGUCUGAGAUCCAUUCUCUCUGGGGUCUGAGAUCCAUUCUCUCUGGGGUCUGAGAUCCAUUCUCUCUGGGGUCUGAGAUCCAUUCUCUCUGGGGUCUGAGAUCCAAUCUCUCUGGGAUCUGAGAUCCAUUCUCUCUGGGAUCUGAGAUCCAUUCUCUCUGGUGUCUGAGAUCCAUUCUCUCUGGGGUCUGAGAUCCAUUCUCUCUGGGGUCUGAGAUCCCGUCUCUCUGGGGUCUGAGAUCCCUUCUCUCUGGGAUCCCUUCUCUCUGGGUCUGAGAUCCCUUCUCUUCUGAGAUCCCUUCUCUCUGGGGUCUGAGAUCCAUUCUCUCUGGGGUCUGAGAUCCAUUCUCUCUGGGAUCUGAGACCCAUUCUCUCUGGGGUCUGAGAUCCAUUCUCUCUGGGGUCUGAGAUCCCUUCUCUCUGGUGUCUGAGAUCCCUUCUCUCUGGGAUCCGAGAUCCCUUCUCUCUGGGAUCCGAGAUCCACUCUCUCUGGGGUCUGAGAUCCACUCUCUCUGGGGUCUGAGAUCCACUCUCUCUGGGGUCUGAGAUCCACUCUCUCUGGGGUCUGAGAUCCAUUCUUUCUGGGAUCUGAGAACCCAUUCUCUCUGGGAUCUGAGAUCCAUUCUCUCUGGGGUCUGAGAUCCAUUCUCUCUGGGGUCUGAGAUCCAUUCUCUCUGGGAUCUGAGAACCAUUCUCUCUGGGAUCUGAGAACCAUUCUCUCUGGGGUCUGAGAUCCAUUCUCUCUGGGGUCUGAGAUCCAUUCUCUCUGGGGUCUGAGAUCCAUUCUCUCUGGGGUCUGAGAUCCAUUCUCUCUGGGGUCUGAGAUCCAUUCUCUCUGGGGUCUGAGAUCCAUUCUCUCUGGGGUCUGAGGUCCAUUCUCUCUGGGGUCUGAGAUCCAUUCUCUCUGGGAUCUGAGAUCCAUUCUCUCUGGGAUCUGAGAACCAUUCUCUCUGGGGUCUGAGAUCCAUUCUCUCUGGGGUCUGAGAUCCAUUCUCUCUGGGGUCUGAGAUCCAUUCUCUCUGGGGUCUGAGAUCCAUUCUCUCUGGGAUCUGAGAUCCAUUCUCUCUGGGAUCUGAGAUCCAUCCGAUCUGAGAUCCAUUCUCUCUGGGAUCUGAGAUCCAUUCCCUCUGGGGUCUGAGAUCCAUUCUCUCUGGGAUCUGAGAUCCAUUCUCUCUGGGAUCUGAGACCCAUUCUCUCUGGGAUCUGAGAUCCAUUCUCUCUGGGAUCUGAGACCCAUUCUCUCUGGGGUCUGAGAUCCAUUCUCUCUGGGGUCUGAGAUCCAUUCUCUCUGGGGUCUGAGAUCCAUUCUUUCUGGGAUCUGAGAACCAUUCUCUCUGGGAUCUGAGAACCAUUCUCUCUGGGAUCUGAGAUCCAUUCUCUCUGGGGUCUGAGAUCCAUUCUCUCUGAGGUCUGAGAACCAUCCUCUCUGGGGUCUGAGAUCCAUUCUCUCUGGGGUCUGAGAUCCAUUCUCUCUGGGGUCUGAGAUGCAUUCUCUCUGGGGUCUGAGACCCAUUCUCUCUGGGGUCUGAGAUCCACUCUCUCUGGGGUCUGAGAUCCAUUCUCUCUGGGAUCUGAGAUCCAUUCUCUCUGGGAUCUGAGAUCCAUCCGAUCUGAGAUCCAUUCUCUCUGGGAUCUGAGAUCCAUUCCCUCUGGGGUCUGAGAUCCAUUCUCUCUGGGAUCUGAGAUCCAUUCUCUCUGGGGUCUGAGAUCCAUUCUCUCUGGGGUCUGAGAUCCAUUCUCUCUGGGGUCUGAGAUCCAUUCUCUCUGGGAUCUGAGAUCCAUUCUCUCUGGGAUCUGAGAUCCAUCCUCUCUGGGAUCUGAGAUCCAUUCUCUCUGGGGUCUGAGAUCCAUUCUCUCUGGGGUCUGAGAUCCAUUCUCUCUGGGAUCUGAGAUCCAUCCUCUCUGGGGUCUGAGAUCCAUUCUCUCUGGGAUCUGAGAUCCAUUCUCUCUGGGAUCUGAGACCCAUUCUCUCUGGGAUCUGAGAUCCAUUCUCUCUGGGGUCUGAGAUCCAUUCUCUCUGGGGUCUGAGAUCCAUUCUCUCUGGGGUCUGAGAUCCAUUCUCUCUGGGAUCUGAGACCCAUUCUCUCUGGGAUCUGAGACCCAUUCUCUCUGGGGUCUGAGAUCCAUUCUCUCUGGGAUCUGAGACCCAUUCUCUCUGGGAUCUGAGACCCAUUCUCUCUGGGAUCUGAGAUCCAUUCUCUCUGGGAUCUGAGAUCCAUCCUCUCUGGGAUCUGAGAUCCAUCCUCUCUGGGGUCUGAGAUCCAUCCUCUCUGGGAUCUGAGACCCAUUCUCUCUGGGAUCUGAGACCCAUUCUCUCUGGGGUCUGAGAUCCAUUCUCUCUGGGGUCUGAGAUCCAUUCUCUCUGGGGUCUGAGAUCCAUUCUCUCUGGGGUCUGAGAUCCAUCCUCUCUGGGGUCUGAGAUCCAUCCUCUCUGGGGUCUGAGAUCCAUCCUCUCUGGGGUCUGAGAUCCAUCCUCUCUGGGGUCUGAGAUCCAUCCUCUCUGGGGUCUGAGAUCCAUUCUCUCUGGGAUCUGAGACCCAUUCUCUCUGGGGUCUGGGAUCCAUCCUAUCAGGUAUUCUAAGGAGCACUUUAUGAAGUGGCAGUUUGUCCAUGAGAACAUUGGAUUGCAGUUACAUAUAUUUACACAUGAGUCGAUCCAAUGAGCUUUGAUUUUGAUCGCCUGUUGAUUUAUAUGAUUUAAUAUUCUGGGUUUGUAAUUAUUUUAGCGAUUCACUUAGUAAUUGUCACUUAAAGGAACAGCGAACCAUUUUUUAUACAAAUCUCCCUGUUUUAUAAUGAUUGUCUCUGAUUGGUAGUCCUGGAAAUUUGGGGAGGGGCUUAUUUAUGAACUACCCCACCAAUAAGGUUGGUGUUUGUCAGCGAGGAUCUGCAGCCAGAAGUGGGAUUGGACCCCAGCAGAUUCUCUAAUGACGAAGCUUCUGUAAUUCUUAGCCGGUAACAAUUGUCCGGAUUCCAAACCUGAAUAACUUUUCCCUUCUUUCAGGUUUUUGGCCAUAAAGUGGAUAAUAUUUAUCCAAAUGUCGUUUUGAAGGUUUUGUUGGAAUGUAAAACCAUAAGAAAUGUUGAGAACGUUGGUAUGUGGUUGUUAAAAUGCUUCAAUAAAACAUUAUCUGUAUUUUGUGAAA